rnacentral:rRNA from 1 species
GACGAACGCUGGCGGCGUGCCUAAUACAUGCAAGUCGAGCGGACGGAUGGGAGCUUGCUCCCAGACCGUCAGCGGCGGACGGGUGAGUAACACGUGGGCAACCUGCCUGUAAGACUGGGAUAACUCCGGGAAACCGGGGCUAAUACCGGAUAACUCUUUCCCUCACAUGAGGGAAAGCUGAAAGAUGGCAUCUCGCUAUCACUUACAGAUGGGCCCGCGGCGCAUUAGCUAGUUGGUGAGGUAACGGCUCACCAAGGCGACGAUGCGUAGCCGACCUGAGAGGGUGAUCGGCCACACUGGGACUGAGACACGGCCCAGACUCCUACGGGAGGCCGCAGUAGGGAAUCUUCCGCAAUGGACGAAAGUCUGACGGAGCAACGCCGCGUGAGUGAUGAAGGUUUUCGGAUCGUAAAACUCUGUUGUCAGGGAAGAACAAGUACCGGAGUAACUGCCGGUAGCUUGACGGUACCUGACCAGAAAGCCACGGCUAACUACGUG